CUGAGAGAAGAAAAUACUCGUGUGAAUUAGUUCCUUGAGUAUAAAAGACUCUGGUAAAGAUUUUGUUACAUGCCUCCUAUUAAAUACCUAAUUGCUCACACAAUAUAAGGCUAACUUCGGGACCCACCUUCAACACCAGCUCCUGAAAUGAGACACAACUAUUUAACUGAACUGACCUGUCCUCAAGAUUAAGAGGCAGAUCCCGCUUAUGCAGUUCACCCAGCCAGCACCACGGCAAUGCUGCAGAGGACACCGAAUGCCUGACUGGGGUGGAUCGGUCCCAGCUGCCCUGAGCAAGUCCCUUCCAGGGGAAGCGAAGGGCAGAUGCUAUCCCAGGCAGCCCCAGGACAGAUCGUAGCAUCUGGCAACCACUCGCCAUGCCAACACAGCUAGGGACCUAAUUUGGGAGCGCCAUGGGCCGCGGAGGCUGGGAAACCUGUUCUCAGGACUUGAGACCAACCACAAUUCGAAACACCCUGUGAUGCGGCGCGCCAUUACUGCCCUAAGAGAUAUAAACCCUUUCAGCGGUAACACAUUUAAGAAUCCACUUAGGAACGUCUAAGCCUGGACAGAUUCUUUAUGGACUGUGUCAGGGUGACAGACUUACCGAAAGAUGAUGUUUUCCAAGUCAAAUGGAUACUCAAUGAUGCCUGUUGUGGGCACUCGGACGCGAAGCACAUCCUGCUGCGUUGGCACGAACGAUGGCAUGGCGAUCCGGUCAAUGUCAGUCAGGUAACUGAUGUCAGAGAACAAGAUGCUGAGGAGGGAGGAGUGCCCCUCCCACGCCAGGGCAGUCACCCCCAUCACAGCGACCCCCACUCAGAUUCAUCAGGGACUUUUGUGAGAGCCAACACUCCAGCCCUCCUGCAACUGUGUGGAGAGACGGUGGAUCAGAAGCCUUCGUGGGCCUUCCGGGAAAUCUGCAGAUCUCGCCUCUCCUCCUCAUGGUUCUCAGCCCCAUCCCUCUGGCCGGUGAGGGGGCCAGUGGGGCCACAGGAGGAGGAGGUUGGAACUGGCUCUCGGACAUCUCAUCUGUCCUCCUCCACCCCAGGGCCCUUCUGCCUCCCACACGCCCUCAUCCAAGAACAUUAGAUGCUGAUGCUGAUUUUGGACACUUGGCUCAAUGAAUUAGCGCUUUUAAGAAAACAUAAAGACAUAAAACAGGCCAGUGGGAAGUCCUCUCAAAAUAAGAAAAAGUUCCUUGUUACACUGGGAAAUCAAACACCUCCUAAAAUAACCCAAAACGUGUUUGGAUUAUUUUUUGGCCAAAUAUUAAAGCCCUAAGCUUAAAACAUGUCACUUUUUCUGUGGCAAAACAAGAGGACGCGUCUGCUUUUUCAUCUUAAGGCCUUUUAAAAAGGCACUUUUGAGUAAAUAACUGAGGCCGUGGCCCAUGACAGCGUUGGGGGCUUGGAGCACCCUGCACACGGAGGCCUCCCCCCUCCCCCCGUCCCCACACACCUCCCCCCUCCCCCUGCACAGCCAGAGCUCACCCGGGUCCGCUAGGGCUGAACAGGUGGCACGGAGGGGAGCCAAGAGUAACCGGCAAACCCCAUUCACGUGCAGCCCUCAGCACAGGAAGCACACCACUGGGUCAGCCUUCUCUGCCCCACACCCUCAUUCUGGCCUCAGGGCUAUCGUCAUGGACUUCCGUGUGUGACAUUUUGAUUUAUACCUGUCUCCUUCCAGACGGUCGGUUCCUUCAGGGCAGAGGGCACUGGUUGUACCUGUAGCCCUUACCUCCGUGUCUGGCACACAGCAGACACACGCCGCACUUCUGUGAGAUGAAUGCCUGUCCCAAUAAGCAGACAGCUCCAGCAGCGUGGAUGACAGCCACUGACCUGGGCCUUGCUAGUGCAGAGGCGGGGCACGGUCCGGGUUUGUGAGUGCCAUUUCCUCUGUUGCAGCUCUGUGCCCCACCUCAUCCCUCCCCACAUUCUUCUCAAUGGACUUGCCCCAGUUUUCAGGGCUCCACUGACUUCUACAGCAGGCCCAAUGAGUCGCCUCCAAGUUGAUCUACAUCAAGAGCACCAGCUACUCUCCAGGGCCUUCGCAGAAGCGAAUGACACAGCCGUCCCAGGGAAGGGCCAGGGCCGCCCUGGCUGACUUGGAGCCGUCCCUGGCGCCCCAGCUGUCAAAGGCAGUCUGCCCUCUUCCUGGGAUAUGCCUUCCUUCCUGCCAGCUGUCUUACAUGCUGAUCCAACAGCUUAUCGGGGCUUCUCUUCUUUCCUUUUCCUGCUUUGCUGCAAUGUUGGACCUAAAUGUUCCCGGACUCAGAUUGGUUGUGCUAACCUGGAUUAACGCCAUUCAACACAGCCUCGGACAAAUGUCAGAGGGAGGCCAGUGAAUCUGAGGAGGUAAGAUUCUGGUUUGCUUUCCUGCCCGCUGGCUUGUCCAGAUGAUGGGUGAAUGACCCACCCACAGGAGAGCAAUGACAGCAACUGAAGAGAAGGGGACGGGUCUGGGGAAGGGAUUCCAGGGCCCUCAGAGGGUGGAAAUGACACCGAGCAAGAGGGAAGGAGCUGAGCUGCAGAAGCAGGAAUCCUCACCCCUUCAAGAAGGACCAUGGUCCAGCUAUUUGCUGAGAUCUGGCUGACAGAGGCAGUGCCUUGGGAGAUUCUUAAGAAAAUCAAAUUAUGUGAUCUCUGUGGGAUAGUUUGCAUGCAGAACCACCUAUUUCUUUUUACCUUAAUGGAUUACUGAUUUAAAACUAGAGUCUUAUGGAUCCAAAAUAAAUAUAAUGUGUCUGCAAACAAACGGCUCCCAGGCUGAGCUUUCUCCUUGGCUGGGCCCGCAGAGCCUAUCUCUCCCACUAGAGGGCAGCACCAGAUCAGCCACUGACGGGUGUAUUGCACUGCUGGUCUAAAUUCUGAUUUUAGAUUUUAGGGCAACUGGACUUGCUGUCUACUGACCAGCAAACCAGAAGGCAGAGGGAAAUGGAGAGGGGAAAGUAGAAGCCAGAAGCAGAUGUAGUCCUGGUUUAAAUCAGACAAUUUCAGGACCCCACAUGAGAUCAGUCCCACCACCAAGAGAAGCCCUCAUUUACCCUCUCAUUGAAAAGGACAGAGGCUUAGAGCUUGACGGGGGAAGGUAGCUACGGGCAAGGAGAGCUACCUGGGGCUCCACGGGGGGACUGAAGAUUUUAGGAGGCAGGAAGAGAGGCACCGAAAGUAAGAGUAGGAUACAGACAGGCAGAAGGGAGGUCGUGUUGCCUUGGAGUGCCCACCGUUUAGCAAGCAGCUCAUUUCUCCCCCUUGAAGUGUGACCAAUGCUUGCCUGAAAGCACUUUGCGUGGCCGCAGCCUGGGGCUCUGUACUCACUAUUUGG